GUGGUUCUCCAUGGAGUGGUGUGUCUCCUGUCUCUAGGACCUCUCUGCCCUCAUCAUGAGACCAUGCCCAGGCUAGUCUGCUGGAAGGAAGUCAGAGGCACACGGAAGAGAGCCACAUUCAGCCAAGGCCAUUCUAGACCAGUUGUUCCCUGUCACUUCACUAAUUGGCCACAGCACAAGGUACACGGAUGGAGCUGGAAGCCAUUAUCCUCAGCAAACUAAUGUAGGAACAGAAAACCAAAUAUUGCAUGUUCUUACUUAUAAGUGGGAGCUGAACAACGAGAACACAUGGACACAGGGAGGGAAACAACACACACUGGGGCCUGUCCAGCAGUAAGGUUGAGGCAGGGAAAGCAUUAGGAAAAAUAGCUAUGCAUGCUGGGCUGAAUACUGGGUGAUGGAUUGAUAGGUGCAGCAAACCACCAUGGCAUAUGUUUACCUUUGUAAGAAACCAGCACAUCCUGCACAUGUACCCUGGAACUUAAAAUAAAAAUUAAAAUGUUUUUUAAAAAAGUCAUGAUGUUUUCUCAGCAGCCCAGUUUACUUUUCCAGACCCCUCUGGCAUGUGUUACUCCAGAAAAAGGCCGGUGUGUGUGAA
rnacentral:lncRNA from 1 species